rnacentral:rRNA from 1 species
UACGGAGGGUGCAAGCGUUAAUCGGAAUUACUGGGCGUAAAGCGUACGCAGGCGGUUAGUUAAGCUAGAUGUGAAAGCCCCGGGCUCAACCUGGGAACUGCAUUUAGAACUGGCUGGCUAGAGUGCAGCAGAGGAUAGUGGAAUUUCUAGUGUAGCGGUGAAAUGCGUAGAUAUUAGAAGGAACACCAGUGGCGAAGGCGACUGUCUGGGCUGACACUGACGCUCAUGUACGAAAGCGUGGGGAGCAAACAGG